GGAGCGGAUGGCGGCCAUUUUGUGAUGCUGGGUAGGGGCGCGGGUGGGGGAGGGGGAGGAGAGGAAGGCUUCGCUGAGAGGCAAUGAAGACGGGCACAGACUUCACUUCCCUCGCUCCCUCUCACACACACGCACAUACGGCACAAGAUGGCCGGGGAGACAGGAGCCUCCGCUGGUCGCUGCUGCCGUUUCCCUCCCUGUCCCGGGCGCCUGUUCCUCCGGCCACCCCCCUGGCCCGAGGCGGGCGCUCGCUUGAGGAGUGGGGGGACUCUCCGGCUGGGCCCAGGCUCCUGAAUUGGGGGGUGGCCUGUCAAACCCCCAACCCCUCAGAAAAACAACCGCAAAGAGAGGCGCCUAUGCGGCAGAGCUGGCUCGGCUCGUCCUCGGGGCGGCGGCGGCGCCGAGAACGGCGGCAGCUACGCCCGGCGAGCCCCUUUCGGUAUGCCCGCGUCGUCUCUCCCGCUUUGGGUGGUAUUCGUGAAUGUUUACUACUUCUGUAACAACUGUGUUUCAGAUGACCUGAACAGACUUUGUUAAGAUCGCAUCAGGGUUCUGGUAACUGGGAUGAUUCAGAUGGCACCAGAAGAAAACAUGUUAUGUCCUUCAGGUAUGUUGAAGAUCUGGAUGUGUAAAAUAUCUGAUGCUGAUUGAAGCACUGAGUCCAGACAAAGGAAGAAUCUCAAAGGGAGACAACGAGUUCCAAAUCAAGAUGGCAGUUCCACAGAUUGAGAGGUUGAGGAAUGAACUAUUGCAUGAUUGCUGAUUAUGUCCAACCAAGAGGGGCACUUUAGGAUGAACUUCAGUGUAAUCUAAACCAGAGAAGAUUUGGGCUAUGAUCAUCUGAUAAAUGGAUUUUUUUUAAAAUCAAAUGAUUUCUGACCCUUCCAAUAUAGCUUAUUUGGCAUUGGGGGUGGAAUGGGCUGACUGAAUUUUCAAACCAGGAAUGUAUGCAUACUUUUCUCCCCUAUUGGCAGAAGUGCUGUGCUACUUUAAAUGGCUUAAAUAAAAGUGGUUUUUUUUACAUUUU